rnacentral:rRNA from 1 species
GAUGAACGCUGACAGAAUGCUUAACACAUGCAAGUCUUUGGCGAAGCUGUGCUCGCACAGCCUAGCCAAGGCGGACGGGUGAGUAACGCGUAAGGAACUUGCCCUGCAGUCAGGGAUAACAGACGGAAACGACUGAUAAGACCUGGUAAGGUCAGGCGGACUCAUGUCCAGCCUGAUGAAAAGAGAUGCUGCAGGAGAGCCUUGCGUCCUAUUAGCUUGUUGGUGGGGUAACGGCCCACCAAGGCGAUGAUAGGUAGCCGACCUGAGAGGGUGGACGGCCACAAGGGGACUGGGAUACGGCCCUUACUCCUACGGGAGGCAGCAGUGGGGAAUAUUGGACAAUGGGGGCAACCCUGAUCCAGCAAUUCUGUGUGCACGAUGAAGGUUUUCGGAUUGUAAAGUGCUUUCAGCAGGGAAGAAAAAAAUGACGGUACCUGCAGAAGAAGCGACGGCUAAAUACGUG